rnacentral:rRNA from 1 species
UACGGAGGAUGCGAGCGUUAUCCGGACUUAUUGGGUUUAAAGGGUGCGCAGGCGGUCUGUUGAGUCAGCGGUCAAAGCCCGGGGCUCAACCCCGGCCCGCCGUUGAAACUGGCAGUCUCGAGUUGGAGAGAAGUAUGCGGAAUGCGCGGUGUAGCGGUGAAAUGCAUAGAUAUCGCGCAGAACUCCGAUUGCGAAGGCAGCAUGCCGGCUCCACACUGACGCUGAGGCACGAAAGCGUGGGUAUCGAACAGG